rnacentral:rRNA from 1 species
UUUAUUUUAAGAGUUUGAUCCUGGCUCAGGAUGAACGCUGGCGGCGUGCCUAACAC